GUUAACUUUUCCCCAGGCCCUAUUGGUUCUCCUGGCAUUUUGUGCUCCUCCCCUGCUUGGAAUUUGUAUGGAACUGCAGAGCUGAGGAAGCCAGCUGCUGGGCUGGUGGUCUCCCUCCAAGAACAAAAGACUGAUGCCCAGGCAAAAAUAGAGGUGGCCAUUUCCGAGCGCUUGACCAGUGCUAAUGCCCUGUGGGCCCUGCAAAGAAUGGGAUUGCAAUGUUUGUUCCCAAAGUCCUUCAAAAAAUAUUCUCCAUCUUUUGAAAGGGCUGCUCCGCUGACCAGUGUAGCCAUUGGAGCAUCGACUAGAGGAACCUUAAAAGCUCCAUGACAUCCUGUUGUGCACUGUAAAAGUGCUUGACACAGGCAGAUGGAUUCUUAUUGGAGCCUGGUGAUUUCCACUCUUCUAUUAAAAAAAUGGACAUGGUAUGUGAAGAUCAUGCCAGACUCUUGGGCAGUUGGAAAAUCUCCUUCUCUUCCUGCAUUUGGUCUCCAAAGGCCUGAUCAGUGGAAGAAUCAAGCUUCAGGACCCUGCGUGCCUUGCACAGAAGCAACAUAAAGUCCUCCUAAUUAAAGACUCUAUGAGACAUGA